UGAGGAAUAUUGGUCAAUGGGGGCAACCCUGAACCAGCCAAGUCGCGUGAAGGAUGAAGGUCUUAUGGAUUGUAAACUUCUUUUAUACAGGAAUAAAUUGGGGGACGUGUCCCCUUUUGCAUGUACUGUAUGAAUAAGGAUCGGCUAACUCCGUGCCAGCGGCCGCGGUAAUACGGAGGAUCCGAGCGUUAUCCGGAUUUACUGGGUUUAAAGGGUGCGUAGGUGGGCUUAUAAGUCAGUGGUGAAAUCUCCGAGCUUAACUUGGAAACUGCCGUUGAUACUAUAGGUCUUGAAUUAUCUGGAGGUAAGCGGAAUAUGUCAUGUAGCGGUGAAAUGCUUAGAUAUGACAUAGAACACCAAUUGCGAAGGCAGCUUACUACAUAUAAAUUGACGCUGAGGCACGAAAGCGUGGGGAUCAAACA
rnacentral:rRNA from 1 species